rnacentral:rRNA from 1 species
AGGGUUUGAUUCUGGCUCAGGAUGAACGCUGGCGGCGUGCUUAACACAUGCAAGUCGAACGAAGCAUUUUAAAAUGAGACUUCGGUGGAUUUUUAAAAUGACUGAGUGGCGGACGGGUGAGUAACGCGUGGGCAACCUGCCUUACACAGGGGGACAACAGUUAGAAAUAGCUGCUAAUACCGCAUAAGCGCACAGUACCGCAUGGUACCGUGUGAAAAACUCCGGUGGUGUAAGAUGGGCCCGCGUUGGAUUAGCUAGUUGGAGGGGUAACGGCCCACCAAGGCGACGAUCCAUAGCCGACCUGAGAGGGUGACCGGCCACAUUGGGACUGAGACACGGCCCAG